GAUAUAGUCGUCGAGAAAAUAUCGCAGACAAAAUAUCGUAUCAUAUAUCAUAUCGAAUAUAAGCAAUCGUAAUUCGUUUGUUAUUGUCACAGCUGACAGGUCUAAACAUGACCACAAAGUAUUGUAUGCUAUGCCGUUCGAGAACUACGGAAAAGAAUGUUUCAGUACCAAGAGAUGAAAGCAGAAGGGAGCUGUGGUCAAGGAGCUGUGGCGUUCAAUUUACGAGUUCGAGUAAAAUUUGUAGCAAACAUUUCAAGGACUCGGACUUUUUUUACUAUCCGUCCGAAAGCGCAACAAAGCGGAGACGACUGAUGCCAACUGCUGUACCGCAGAAUCAACGUGAGCAAGUUCUCACAGAGCACUUAAAAUCAGCUUGUGGGGACAAUGUUUGUGACUUCAACUCCCAAACUGACGAAGAAGUUGUGGAUUCUGGGCUUGCCAUAGACAAUUUAUGUUUGCAAAAGAAAGUUGCUGACUUGCAAAGGGAAAAAGCUAAGCUCCUUGAGCAAAUUGGGAAAACGCAGACGCUUAUUGAUUCCCUUAAUACCAUUUUCACCAAAUCGCAGAUCAGGAAACUUGAGAACGGCGGGAAAAGAGUUCAAUGGAAUCACGAUGACAUUUCAAAUGCGAUUUGUCUCCAUGCUGCUGGCCCCCGGGCGUAUCGCCACUUGAUCGAAAAGGGGUUUCCAUUUCCAUCCUUAUCCACUUUGGACAAAUGGUUAUGAAUCAAAAUAUUCUAAUUUCCUUAAAA